rnacentral:rRNA from 1 species
AUUGAACGCUGGCGGCAUGCCUUACACAUGCUAGUCGAACGGUAACAGGUCUUCGGAUGCUGACGAGUGGCGAACGGGUGAGUAAUGCAUCGGAACGUGCCCAGUAGUGGGGGAUAGCCCGGCGAAAGCCGGAUUAAUACCGCAUACGACCUGAGGGUGAAAGGGGGGGAUCGGAAGACCUCUCGCUAUUGGAGCGGCCGAUGUCAGAUUAGCUAGUUGGUGGGGUAAAGGCCUACCAAGGCAACGAUCUGUAGUUGGUCUGAGAGGACGACCAGCCACACUGGGGCUGAGACACGGCCCAGACUCCUACGGGAGGCAGCAGUGGGGAAUAUUGGACAAUGGGCGGAAGCCUGAUCCAGCCAUGCCGCGUGUGUGAAGAAGGCCUGAGGGUUGUAAAGCACUUUAGUCGGGGAGGAUGGUAGAGCAGGUUAAGAGCUAGCUUUGCUGACGUUACCCGAAGAAUAAGCACCGGCUAACUCCGUGCCAGCAGCCGCGGUAAAAC